rnacentral:rRNA from 1 species
GAUGAACGCUAGCGGCAGGCCUAAUACAUGCAAGUCGAACGGUGUCUUCGGACAUAGUGGCGCACGGGUGCGUAACACGUAUGCAACCUACCUUACAUUGGGGGAUAGCCUUUCGAAAGGGAGAUUAAUACCGCAUAAGACAGUAGCUGGGCAUCCAGCAGCUGUUAAAGAUUUAUCGAUGUAAGCUGGGCAUGCGUCCAAUUAGCUAGUUGGUGAGGUAACGGCUCACCAAGGCAAUGAUUGGUAGGGGAACUGAGAGGUCAAUCCCCCACACUGGAACUGAGAUACGGGCCAGACUCCUACGGGAGGCAGCAGUAGGGAAUAUUGGGCAAUGGACGCAAGUCUGACCCAGCCAUGCCGCGUGCAGGACGAAGGCGUUAUGCGUUGUAAACUGCUUUUAUACAGGAAGAAACGACUCUUGCGAGAGGCAUUGACGGUACUGUAUGAAUAAGCACCGGCUAACUCCGUGCCAGCCGCCGCAGUAAAAC